rnacentral:rRNA from 1 species
CAGCCGCCACGGUAAUACGUAGGUCCCGAGCGUUGUCCGGAUUUAUUGGGCGUAAAGGGAGCGCAGGCGGUUUAGUAAGUCUGAAGUUAAAGGCAUUGGCUCAACCAAUGUAUGCUUUGGAAACUGUUAGACUUGAGUGCAGAAGGGGAGAGUGGAAUUCCAUGUGUAGCGGUGAAAUGCGUAGAUAUAUGGAGGAACACCGGUGGCGAAAGCGGCUCUCUGGUCUGUCACUGACGCUGAGGCUCGAAAGCGUGGGUAGCGAACAGGAUUAGAUACCCCAGUAGUCCCUGUCUCUUAUACA